rnacentral:rRNA from 1 species
UACGUAGGGGGCAAGCGUUGUCCGGAUUCAUUGGGCGUAAAGGGUGCGUAGGUGGCGCCGUAAGUCAGGUGUGAAAUCUCGGGGCUCAACCCCGAAACUGCACUUGAUACUGCGGUGCUCGAGUACUGGAGAGGAGAUUGGAAUUUACGGUGUAGCAGUGAAAUGCGUAGAUAUCGUGAGGAAGACCAGUGGCGAAGGCGGAUCUCUGGACAGCUCCUGACGCUGAGGCGCGAAGGCUAGGGGAGCAAACGGG